GCGCCAGUGGUCCAGUGGUAGGAUAAUUGCCUUCCAAGCAAUCGGCAGGGGUUCGAUUCCCUUCUGGCGCA
rnacentral:tRNA from 2 species